GGUCAGUGAUGAGAUGUAAAAGGUCCGAAGCCUUGCCUCUUUCCAGUCCUGUUGUCCCUCCCAGCAGCCCCUGUUAAUUUCUUUCCCCAGCAUGCUCUAGUUGUGCAUCGCUGGUUAAGGGUGGCGGCUGAUAUUACGGACGUUUCCGCUGCAUUGAGAGUCUUUUUCGAGUAUAAUAAGACGUCGACAGCAGCGUCCAACAGAAGCACGACACACAGGAGGGCCGGACUGACGGAGAGCGUUUGACAGGCUUAUGAUCUCAAGUUUUCAAGCUGAGACC